CGCUUAACUCGGGGAUAGCCUUUCGAAAGAAAGAUUAAUACCCGAUAGCAUAAUGAUUCCGCAUGGUUUCAUUAUUAAAGGAUCCGGUAAAGGAUGGGGAUGCGUUCCAUUAGGUUGUUGGUGAGGUAACGGCUCACCAAGCCUUCGAUGGAUAGGGGUUCUGAGAGGAAGGUCCCCCACAUUGGAACUGAGACACGGUCCAA
rnacentral:rRNA from 1 species